UUAAAACAAAAAUAGCACACAAAUGGAUUUCAACUUAUUUCCAUUUCACUACAGGACUACAUCAUAAUCCACCCUUCACAAACUCCUAUCCUGCCUUUAGGUGGAGGAGUGAGGGGACAGAAAAAAGGAAACUAGUACCUGCAGAAAAGUCUGGUGUCUGAAUCAGGUAAUGAUACUUGGCUUGAGAAGCUCUCAGUCAUCUUUCUUACACAACGCCUACGAUGAAGUUGACCACCUUGUAUUGAUAAGUUUUUGUGGAGCAAACAGGACAAGGUAUUAUAGAUCACCCUCAGAAGAUUAGAAGUGUGCAUAAAUUCAUACGUCUUUGGUGAGAAUUCUUUGCUGGCUAAAGUUGAAUAAAAUGAUUUCCAUUUCUUUGGAGGAGGAAAAG
rnacentral:lncRNA from 1 species